AGAGUUUGAUCCUGGCUCAGGACGAACGCUGGCGGCGUGCCUAAUGCAUGCAAGUCGAGCGACGCGCACUACGGUGCGACGGAGCGGCGAACGGGUGAGUAACACGUGAGCAACCUGCCCUGAAGACCGGAAUAGCCCGGGGAAACCCGGUGUAAUGCCGGAUACACUCCCGAUACCGCAUGGUAUGGGAGAAAACGCCUUUGUGCUUCAGGAUGGGCUCACGGCCUAUCAGCUAGUUGGUGAGGUAACGGCUCACCAAGGCGACGACGGGUAGCUGGUCUGAGAGGACGAUCAGCCACACUGGGACUGAGACACGGCCCAGACUCCUACGGGAGGCAGCAGCAGGGAAUAUUGCGCAAUGGGCGAAAGCCUGACGCAGCGACGCCGCGUGGGGGAUGAAUGCCUUCGGGUUGUAAACCCCUUUCAGGAGGGAAGAAAUUGACGGUACCUCCAAAAGAAGCCCCGGCCAACUACGUGCCAGCAGCCGCGGUAAGACGUAGGGGGCAAGCGUUGUCCGGAAUCAUUGGGCGUAAAGGGCUCGUAGGCGGCUCGGUAAGUUGAUCGUGAAAUCCCGGAGCUCAACUCCGGAACUGCGGUCGAUACUGCCGUGGCUAGAGUCAGGUAGAGGAGAGUAGAAUUCCCGGUGUAGCGGUGGAAUGCGCAGAUAUCGGGAGGAAUACC
rnacentral:rRNA from 1 species